rnacentral:rRNA from 1 species
GUGAAGCGGCAACAGCUCAAAUUUGAAAGCUGGCCCUUUUAGGGUCCGCGUUGUAAUUUGUAGAGGAUGAUUCGGCGAGGGCUCCCGCCUAAGUCCCCUGGAACGGGGCGUCAUAGAGGGUGAGAAUCCCGUAUGUGGUGGGCUGCCUUAGCCAUGUGAAUCUCCUUCGACGAGUCGAGUUGUUUGGGAAUGCAGCUCUAAAUGGGAGGUAAAUUUCUUCUAAAGCUAAAUACCGGCCAGAGACCGAUAGCGCACAAGUAGAGUGAUCGAAAGAUGAAAAGCACUUUGGAAAGAGAGUUAAAAAGUACGUGAAAUUGUUGAAAGGGAAGCGCUUGCAACCAGACUUGUCCGCAGUUGCUCAGCCGGUCUCCUGACCGGCGUACUCUUCUGCGGCCAGGCCAGCAUCAGUUCGGGCGGUCGGAUAAAGACCUCGGGAAUGUAGCUCCUCUCGGGGAGUGUUAUAGCCCGGGGUGGAAUGCGGCCAGCCUGGACUGAGGAUCUCGCUUCGGCAAGGAUGCUGGCGUAAUGGUUGUAAGCGGCCCGUCUUGAAACACGGACC